rnacentral:rRNA from 1 species
CAGCAGUGAGGAAUCUUCCACAAUGGGCGAAAGCCUGAUGGAGCAACGCCGCGUGCAGGAUGAAGGCCUUCGGGUUGUAAACUGCUUUUAUAAGUGAGGAUUAUGACAGUAACUUAUGAAUAAGGAUCGGCUAACUACGUGCCAGCAGCCGCGGUCAUACGUAGGAUCCGAGCGUUAUCCGGAGUGACUGGGCGUAAAGAGUUGCGUAGGUGGUUCGAUAAGCGAAUAGUGAAAUCUGGUGGCUCAACCAUUCAGACUAUUAUUCGAACUGUUGAACUCGAGAGCAGAAGAGGUAGCUGGAAUUUCUAGUGUAGGAGUGAAAUCCGUAGAUAUUAGAAGGAACACCGAUGGCGUAGGCAGGUUACUGGGCCAUUUCUGACGCUAAGGCACGAAAGCGUGGGGAGCGAACCGGAUUAGAUACCCGGGUAGUCCACGCCGUAAACGAUGGAUACUAGCUGUUUGGGGUAUCGACCCCCUGAGUAGCGAAGCUAACGCGUUAAGUAUCCCGCCUGUGGAGUACGAUCGCAAGAUUAAAACAUAAAGGAAUUGACGGGGACCCGCACAAGCGGUGGAUCAUGUUCUUUAAUUCGAUGAUAACCGAUAAACCUUACCAGGUCUUGACAUCCUUGGAAUCUUUCAGAAAUGAGAGAGUGCUUUUUAAGAGCCAAGUGACAGGUGAUGCAUGGCCGUCGUCAGCUCGUGUCGUGAGAUGUUUGGUUAAGUCCAUCAACGAGCGCAACCCUUGUCAGUAGUUGUAUUUUUCUACUGAGACUGCCCCGGCAACGGGGAGGAAGGAGGGGAUGACGUCAGGUCAGUAUUUCCCUUACGUCCUGGGCUAGAAACGUGAUACAAUGGCUAGUACAAUGCGCAGCGAAGCCGCGAGGUGAAGCAAAUCGCAUCA